UGUUUCGAAAGGGGCAUCAGGGAAAGGUGACAGACAGAUGCACUAAAAAGAUCCUCUGUGAAGACGUAACUCGGAAGAAGGAAAGUUGUUGUGAAGUUUCGAUGGAAGGGACAAACACAGGCUCGGUCAGCGGUUUGCAACACCGCAUGGUAGGAAACAUAACAGUUAGGUGAUUCUGGAAGCGAUCUGGAAAUGGAGGAGGAAGUGUUAGGUGCGGAGUGUGCUGAUCUCACUAGAGAUGCACUUGAAGCUUGUGUUGGUCUUGGUUGAUGACAUCAUCAGAAGUAUGUCUGAGCCUAAUGGAGAGGUCACAUCGUUCUGUGUCCGUAACAAAACUGCUGGAGGUCAAGAAAAGAGGAACCUUUAAGAUUGAAUCAAUGUUUUCUCUACAGCUUCUGUCUGUCUGGACUCUCUGAUCUUCAGUGUUUUCAUCACUGUCAUAUAAUGCUGACAGAUGAGGGAGUAAUCUUUCAAGAUUUCAGUUAGUAUUCCUAUUGUCACUUUUACAUUGUUAAUAGUUGUAAGAACAGCUACUGUAUUUAAAAUCAAUUACAAAAAUAUAUAUAUUUUACAACACAUUGUUUCAUUGUACCUUUACAGAAAAUUAUUCCAUAAUAUGUAAAUUUGGGUGUGGGGUCUCUUUUGGCUAAACUUAGUUAUUAACAAGUCACAGUAGUUUAGUAUAAGAUAUAUUUUGGUAGAGAAAAAUGAACCUAUAACACUUAAGUGUCAGGCUAAUUUAAGGCCCAUCUCGUACUGUUUGCUGAGGUGAAGUAGUUGUUAAGAUAAUUCUUGUAUCUGUAUUUGGGACUUUCACUUUACUAAAUGUUCCUCAUGCAAAUGAGUAAUGUCUUGAAUUUACAAUCUGCUCCAACUAAAGUUCCUAAUGUGAUUCUAAUCUGGGGAUCUGGUACAAACCCUAUGGAGUUUAUCAGAUAUUGUGGGCACAUGUAUCAUGCUUGCUCAAGUGCAAAUAAGUUGGAAAUUUCCAUCCUAAUGUUUCAAAAUAAAAAAAUAAAGCUACAAUGUUACCAUG